AACGAACGCUGGCGGCAGGCUUAACACAUGCAAGUCGAACGCCCCGCAAGGGGAGUGGCAGACGGGUGAGUAACGCGUGGGAACAUACCCUUUCCUGCGGAAUAGCUCUGGGAAACUGGAAUUAGUACCGCAAACGCCCUACGGGGGAAAGAUUUAUCGGGGAAGGAUUGGCCCGCGUUGGAUUAGCUAGUUGGUGGGGUAAAGGCCUACCAAGGCGACGAUCCAUAGCUGGUCUGAGAGGAUGAUCAGCCGCAUUGGGACUGAGACACGGCCCAAACUCCUACGGGAGGCAGCAGUGGGGAAUAUUGGACAAUGGGCGCAAGCCUGAUCCAGCCAUGCCGCGUGAGUGAUGAAGGCCUUAGGGUUGUACAGCUCUUUCACCGAUGAAGAUAAUGACGGUAGUCGGAGAAGGAGCCCCGGCUAACUUCGUGCCAGCCGCCGCAGUAACAC
rnacentral:rRNA from 1 species